rnacentral:rRNA from 1 species
UACGAAGGGGGCUAGCGUUGCUCGGAAUCACUGGGCGUAAAGCGCACGUAGGCGGACUCUUAAGUCGGUGGUGAAAUCCUGGAGCUCAACUCCAGAACUGCCUUUGAUACUGGCAACCUUGAGUCCGGGAGAGGUGAGUGGAACUGCGAGUGUAGAGGUGAAAUUCGUAGAUAUUCGCAAGAACACCAGUGGCGAAGGCGGCUCACUGGCCCGGUACUGACGCUGAGGUGGCGAAAGCGUGGGGAGCAACAGG